AUGAACGCUGGCGGCGUGCCUAAUACAUGCAAGUCGAGCGAACAGACGAGGAGCUUGCUCCUCUGACGUUAGCGGCGGACGGGUGAGUAACACGUGGAUAACCUACCUAUAAGACUGGGAUAACUUCGGGAAACCGGAGCUAAUACCGGAUAAUAUAUUGAACCGCAUGGUUCAAUAGUGAAAGACGGUUUUGCUGUCACUUAUUGAUGGAUCCGCGCCGCAUUAGCUAGUUGGUAAGGUAACGGCUUACCAAGGCGACGAUGCGUAGCCGACCUGAGAGGGUGAUCGGCCACACUGGAACUGAGACACGGUCCAGACUCCUACGGGAGGCAGCAGUAGGGAAUCUUCCGCAAUGGGCGAAAGCCUGACGGAGCAACGCCGCGUGAGUGAUGAAGGUCUUCGGAUCGUAAAACUCUGUUAUUAGGGAAGAACAAAUGUGUAAGUAACUAUGCACGUCUUGACGGUACCUAAUCAGAAAGCCACGGCUAACUACGUG
rnacentral:rRNA from 1 species